GAUGAACGCUGGCGGCGUGCUUAACACAUGCAAGUCGAACGAAGCACUUUAUUUGAUUUCCUUCGGGACUGAUUAUUUUGUGACUGAGUGGCGGACGGGUGAGUAACGCGUGGGUAACCUGCCUUGUACAGGGGGAUAACAGUUGGAAACGGCUGCUAAUACCGCAUAAGCGCACAGCAACGCAUGAUGCAGUGUGAAAAACUCCGGUGGUAUAAGAUGGACCCGCGUUGGAUUAGCUAGUUGGUGAGGUAACGGCCCACCAAGGCGACGAUCCAUAGCCGACCUGAGAGGGUGACCGGCCACAUUGGGACUGAGACACGGCCCAAACUCCUACGGGAAGCAGCAGUGGGGAAUAUUGCACAAUGGGCGAAAGCCUGAUGCAGCGACGCCGCGUGAGCGAAGAAGUAUUUCGGUAUGUAAAGCUCUAUCAGCAGGGAAGAUAAUGACGGUACCUGACUAAGAAGCACCGGCUAAAUACGUG
rnacentral:rRNA from 1 species